rnacentral:rRNA from 1 species
GAGAGGGUCUCGCGGCCUAUCAGCUAGUUGGUGGGGUAACGGCCUACCAAGGCAACGACGGGUAGCUGGUUUGAGAGAACGAUCAGCCACACUGGGACUGAGACACGGCCCAGACUCCUACGGGAGGCAGCAGUGGGGAAUCUUGCGCAAUGGGCGAAAGCCUGACGCAGCAACGCCGCGUGCGGGAUGACGGCCUUCGUGGUUGUAAACCGCUUUCAGCAGGGACGAAAAUGACGGUACCUGCAGAAGAAGCCCCGGCUAACUACGUGCCAGCAGCCGCGGUAAUACGUAGGGGGCGAGCGUUGUCCGGAAUCAUUGGGCGUAAAGAGCUCGUAGGCGGUUCAGUAAGUCGGGUGUGAAAGCUCCGAGCUCAACUCGGAGAGGCCACCCGAUACUGCUGUGACUAGAAUCCAGUAGGGGAGCGUGGAACUCCUGGUGUAGCGGUGAAAUGCGCAGAUAUCAGGAAGAACACCAGCGGCGAAGGCGGCGCUCUGGGCUGGAAUUGACGCUGAGGAGCGAAAGUGUGGGUAGCAAACAGGAUUAGAUACCCUGGUAGUC